rnacentral:rRNA from 1 species
AUUGAACGCUGGCGGCAUGCUUUACACAUGCAAGUCGAACGGUAACAGGCCUUCGGGUGCUGGCGAGUGGCGAACGGGUGAGUAAUGCAUCGGAACGUACCCAGAGGUGGGGGAUAACGCAGCGAAAGCUGUGCUAAUACCGCAUGUGAUCUGAGGAUGAAAGCGGGGGACCGAGCAGCAAUGUUUGGCCUCGCGCCUUUGGAGCGGCCGAUGUCGGAUUAGCUAGUUGGUGGGGUAAAGGCCUACCAAGGCGACGAUCCGUAGCUGGUCUGAGAGGACGACCAGCCACACUGGGACUGAGACACGGCCCAGACUCCUACGGGAGGCAGCAGUGGGGAAUUUUGGACAAUGGGCGCAAGCCUGAUCCAGCAAUGCCGCGUGCGGGAAGAAGGCCUUCGGGUUGUAAACCGCUUUUGGCAGGAACGAAACGGUGUCCGCUAAUACCGGGCGCUAAUGACGGUACCUGCAGAAUAAGCGCCGGCUAACUACGUG